rnacentral:rRNA from 1 species
UACAGAGGGUGCGAGCGUUGUUCGGAAUUACUGGGCGUAAAGCGCGCGCAGGCGGCCCUUUAAGUCUGCCCGUGAAAUGCCGGAGCUCAACUCCGUGCACGCCGGGGGAUACUGGGGGGCUGGAGACAUGUAGAGGCAAGCGGAAUUCCGGGUGUAGCGGUGGAAUGCGUGGAGAUCCGGAAGAACACCUGAGGCGAAGGCGGUCUGCUGGGCAGUAGCUGACACUGAGGCGCGACAGCGUGGGGAGCAAACAGG